rnacentral:rRNA from 1 species
UAGAUGCGAGAGUAGAGCAUAUCAAUAAGCGGAGGAAAAGAAACUAACAAGGAUUCCCUUAGUAACGGCGAGUGAAGCGGGAAGAGCUCAAAUUUGAAAUCUUCAAGGUUCUACCUUGACGAAUUGUAGUUUAUAGAAGUGUUUUCUGUUAGUAGAGUGGCAAAAGUUCUUUGGAAUAGGACAUCAUAGAGGGUGAGAAUCCCGUAUUUGGUCAUUCCUCCUAGCUUUGUGAUACUCUUUCAACGAGUCGGAUUGUUUGGGAAUGCAGUCCAAAAUGGGUGGUAAAUUUCAUCUAAAGCUAAAUAUUGGCGAGAGACCGAUAGCGAACAAGUACCGUGAGGGAAAGAUGAAAAGAACUUUGAAAAGAGAGUUAAACAGUACGUGAAAUUGUCAAAAGGGAAGCGUUUGACACCAGUGUUGUUUUCCGAAAAUCAAUUAAGAAUGGCCGGAUUUUAAGUUUCAUGACCUUAAAAGCUUGUUCCUUAUUUUUCUUGUCUUUCUUAAUGCACUUUUCGGUUAACAAGUCAACAUCAAUUUCUUUUGUUGUAAAAGGUUAAGAGGAAGGUGGCUUUACUUUCGGGUAAAGUGUUUAUAGCCUUUUAACUCUGCAAUCGGAGAGAUUGAGGUCUGCAGCGUAGAUCCUUCGGGGCUAGAUACGUUUGUGCUAAGUUAUAGCUUUUCAUAGACAACUUGUUGACUAUGUUUAGUCUUGUAGCUUACUCGCUGACGCUAUUUUACCUACGCUUAGGAUGUUGACGCGCGUGUGUGCGUG